UGCUGAUGGGGACACUGAGGAUCAUGGA
rnacentral:piRNA from 1 species